rnacentral:rRNA from 1 species
GUCUUUUUGAUAAUAAUAUAAAGUCUGACCUGCCCAAUGAGGAUUUAAAUGGCCGCGGUAUUUUGACCGUGCAAAGGUAGCAUAAUAAUUAGUUUUUUAAUUGAAAGCUGGAAUGAAUGGUUGGACGAGAAAAUAGCUGUCUCAGAUUAAUUUAAUUAGAAUUUUAUUUUUAAGUAAAAAAGCUUAAAUUUUUUUAAAAGACGAGAAGACCCUAUAGAGCUUUAUAUAUUUAAAAUUAAAUUUAAUUUAGUAUAAUUUAGUUUUUAUUUUUAAAUGUAUUUUAUUGGGGUGAUAAAAAAAUUAAUAAAACUUUUUUUUUAUAUUAACAUUGAUUUAUGAAUUAUUGAUCCAUUUUUUAUGAUUAAAAGAUUAAGUUACCUUAGGGAUAACAGCGUAAUUUUUUUUUAGAGUUCUUAUCGAAAAAAGAGAUUGCGACCUCGAUGUUGGAUUAAAAUUAAUAUUUGGUGUAGAAGCUAAAUAAUUGGGUCUGUUCGACCUUUGAAAUUUUACAUGAUCUGAGUUUAAACCGGUGUAAGCCAGGUUGGUUUCUAUCUUUAAAUAAUUAGAAUAUUUUAGUACGAAAGGACCAAAUAUUUAUAAAAUUUAUUGAAUUUUGAAUAAUAUUAA